rnacentral:rRNA from 1 species
AGGGAAUCUUCCGCAAUGGACGAAAGUCUGACGGAGCAACGCCGCGUGAGUGAAGAAGGUCUUCGGAUCGUAAAACUCUGUUGUUAAGGAAGAACAAGUAUCGUUCGAAUAGGGCGGUACCUUGACGGUACCUAACCAGAAAGCCACGGCUAACUACGUGCCAGCAGCCGCGGUAAUACGUAGGUGGCAAGCGUUGUCCGGAAUUAUUGGGCGUAAAGCGCGCGCAGGCGGUUUCUUAAGUCUGAUGUGAAAGCCCCCGGCUCAACCGGGGAGGGUCAUUGGAAACUGGGGAACUUGAGUGCAGAAGAGGAGAGUGGAAUUCCACGUGUAGCGGUGAAAUGCGUAGAGAUGUGGAGGAACACCAGUGGCGAAGGCGGCUCUCUGGUCUGUAACUGACGCUGAGGCGCGAAAGCGUGGGGAGCAAAC